CGAGUAUUCGUUAACUCUCAAUUCAAAUUUAAAAUAUUCUUUUGUGUAGAGUAUCUCAACUCAACAUUUACAAUAUAUAACAUUAACGUUCAUCUAGCUUAGUUGGAAACUUCGCAAUCAAGUGUUUUGGCAUAAAACCUUACUAUGUAUAAUUACUCUAAAGAAAUUACACCAAUGUGUUAGUGUAUUAUUAAAACACCAACUAUCUUCAAUCACUAUUUCUUCUCGUGAUCCUUCGUCUAUUCUGAAGUCUUUGACGCUAUGUUCAUCUGUUUAUAUCGACUUUUAUCUGCAAAAUUUGUUUGCAAGGUUGAGCACGACGGCUAUGCAAAACCAACAGUCUACACAUUUCAUGCUUCACAUAACAUACAAAUUUCAUAUCUUCAUGCAUCAAAAAUUUUAGUCAAUGCAUCUACAUAUGCUUCAUGCAUCUAUAUGUGCAUCAUACAUUUCAUGAUAUGCAUCUUUAUAUGCAUCAUACUAAUCAUACAAUACAAUAUUAUCUUCAUAUUGUAUAUUUAACCCAUACUUCACAAAUUUCAUGUUUUGUAUUUAGUCACACAACAUUCAUGUAAUCAACGAUUUCACAUAAAACAAACUAUAUCAUUAACUACCAUAAACAUGGUUUAAAACAUAUUAUCACAUAAGAGCAAGUUACUGUAGAACUUGCCUCAAAGCGUUCCUUGCGCUGUUAGAAGAAUUCUUCAUUCCAUUGUCCUACACGAUUAAGGGUUAUUUAUGUUAAUUCCACUUUACUUUUCACCAUUCUUCUUUUUAAAUCUUGAUACAAAAUGCUUUAAUCAUGUGUUUAAGACUUACUAGAACACUUUAUUGUCCAUUUGAUUUAUUUACAUAAAAUUUUCUUCGAAUGAUAACCUACAUCCUCCAUGAGAAUUUAAUUGCAUGAUUAAGUUAAUCAUCACCUCAUAAUUAAAUCUGAUAAUAAUUCUUGAACUCUCGUCUAAUAUUAUUAAUCACUCUACAAAUAUUAUUAAUCAUUUAAUAAUAUUUCAAUCAGUUACUAAUAUUAUUAAUUAUUUAAUAAUAUUUUAUUCACUUUCUAAUAUUAUUAAUCACUUAAUAAUAUCUUAAUAACUUACAAAUAUUAUUAAUCAUUUAAUAAUAUUUUAUUCACUUUCUAAUACUAUUAAACAUUUAAUAAUAUUUUAUUUACUUACUAAUAUUAUUAAUCCUUUAAUAAUAUUUUAAUCACUUACUAAUAUUAUUAAUUAUUGAAUUAAAAAUAUUUUAUUCAUUUAAUAAUAUUAUUAAUCAUUUAAUAAUAUUAUUAAUCAUUUAUAAACAAUUUAAUUUAAUUAUUUAUCUCUUACUAUUUAAUUUAUUUAACACACACAUCGUGCCAUUCUUAUAUCAUUUUAUUAAAAAUGACCAUAUUACACCUCAUAAAGUUUUAAUACAUCAUAUUAAUGAUUAUUAGUCAAUAAAAUCACCUUAUAGAAUUUUAUGACUUAAUAUAACUUAAUUUUCUUAUUUAUUCUUAACGCAAUCAUAGGUAUUAAAAAUGCCUAAUCAAAUUAUUAUUUUCCUAUCUCCUGAAAAACUUCAAUAUAUAAUAUUUUAGUCACAAAAUAUUUUUUCUGAAAUUUUCCAACUUUAUUUCCUAUUUUUAAAUAGGUCAUUUCUGUCCAUAACUACCACAUUUAUUAAAAAUUAUCUUUUUGACUUGUACCAACGUACACAUUCCCUCAUAUCAUUUUUAUAACAUUCAUAUAAAAUUAUGUGAUUAACCUUUUCAUAGUCUCAUAUGUCACAUGUCGACAUGAUCAUCUAGUCGAUAGAAAUUAUCUCGACGAUUCCCGACUCGUUGGUAAUUAUUAGUUUUUAAUCCAUUGGAAGCCUAUUUCCCCCAUUAAGCCUCAUUAAUCAUUUUAUUAUUUUAUUAUUUUCUGUCCAUACAUAUAUACAUAUAUAUUCCAUACAUAAAAAUAGUUUUUCUGGAAUUUUUCCUUUUUAUUAAAUAUUUUUCAAAAGCCAAUUUUAGUUCGUAACUUAGCAAAAUUAGCUAUAUCAUGAUCAACUCCGAAUAUUCCCAAAUGUUUACAUAAUCUUACAUAUAUUAACGCGAACUUCCAGUUUAAAUUUCGUGGUCAUCAGAAUUAUAGAACUCUAGUUAUAGCCGUUUCCGUAGGAAAAAUCCUAAAAUUGAAAUGGUCAUACCUCACUUGAUUUAAGUUGGAAUAAGCUCAACUUUGGACAUGAGCUUCUUUAUAUCAUAUAUUUUCAUUUCCCAAAAGGCCUGAAUUUAUUUCAAAAUUUAAAUUGCCGAAAAUGCCCCUGGAAGUAUUUAGACAGAUUGCAUUUUGGUAUUUCCAGAUUUUGCCUACUUUACUAAAAACUGUCCAUACGGAAAUCUACAAGGAAUUUUUCAGUGAUUCCACUUGGAGAUAUUAGAUAUCACAUGGAUCUAACACAUUUUUUUUUGACGGAUCUCAAAAAUAAGUUGUAGAUUUCAAAUGGUGAAGGUCCAAAGUGGACUAAAAUUUAGGGCUUUCGAGUAUAAAAACUAUUUCGGUUCUUCUUCUUUGUUCAAGCUCAUCAACCCUAAAAAUGGCAAGAUAUAAGCAUUAAACAUCAAAUAUUAUGUAGAUAUACCCUCAUAUGGUUCAAGAUCAUAAGUUCAAAAUUGGAUCUAAAACAACCAUAACAAAACACAUUAAACUAACUAGAGUUUUGAGUUUAGGAGAUUUUAUACCUUUAGUGUUCAAUCUUCCUCUUGAUUUCUUCUUCCUCUCUUCUCUUCUUCCUCUCUCAAGCUCUCAAGCUCUCAAGCUUUCAAUAAGGUUUUUGGGUGAGAGUUAUGGAGAAAUCUAUGGUUUUUUCUUUCCCUUCUUCCUUUUUCCUUUUUCCUCUCUUUUCUUUUCCUUCUCUCUCUUUCUUCCAUCCAUGGCAGUCCUCUCUCUCUCUUCUUUUCCCUAUUUGGUCAGGUGUGUGAGAGAAAAAUGAGAGAAUAAUGCUUCUUAUUUGCCUUUACCUUUUGUUAAAUGAAUUAGAGGUUUAAUAUAAAAUAAAGGGAAACUAGAUCCACUUUUUAGGUGAAGUUAUUGCGGAAGUUGGUGAGGUUAGGUUGGCUGCCCAUGUGCUGGAAUUUGCAAUAGAUUUUGAUCAAGUGGAUCCCGCUUUUAUUGUCUCAUUUUGCGUGCUUAAUCUUGUCUUUGACUUUCGGACAAAAAAGUCAAAUUUUCAAGUUUAUAGUCGAUUCCUUCUAAAAUCGACGUUCCCGACGUCAUGGACACAUCCGUUUCUCCAAAUUCAUCUCUGAAUUUUAAGUUUGACUUUUCUCCAAAAAAGUCAAUUGUUGACUUUGACUAAAAAGUCAACCCCGACACAUUUUGUCUUUACAGCCUAUUCUUUAUAAUUUUGACAUUUCGGAUUCAAAUAUCCAAUUCGUGUUUCCAAAUUCCACUCCUAACUCCGAUUUUGACUUUUUCUCCAUAAAAGUCAAUUGUUGAGUUUGACCAAAAAGGCAACCCUGACACAUUUCGUGUUUACAAUCUUUUCUGACUAAACUUGACGUUCCAGACGCAACCGAGCAAUUUGUGCUUCAAAAUUCUGCCUCUAACUCCAAUUUCCUCCGAAGUUUGGGCUAUCCAAUAAAUCGUUUUGGGACAUGUCUCAUAAAUUUUACAUUUCCCUAAUAUUCUAUUAGGGUUUCUAGUCCACUUACUUUGGACUUUAAAUAAUUACUCAUUCAAUCAUGCACAUUCUCUACAUUAGUCACAAGUAUUCACUUCACUGAUAAAUAAUUAAUAUUCUCCUAUAUUAGGCUUGACAUUUAAUUCAACGUCUAUUAAAACAUCUUUAUUUAGUUUGCUACAUUCAAUAAGCCAUUUCAAAUGACUUGAUAUAAUGAAUUUUAUUAAUCCAACUUUUCAAUAUCUUUUGGUCAUAUUAUUAACUUUAGAUUAUCAUAUUGAUAACUUCUGUCAUCCUUACAAGUCCUCUUAAUAAUUAAAUAUUUAGGCUUGUUUACUAUGAUCAUAUGGUUUGUCAUAUAUAUUAUUUUGACUUGCCAUAUUCUUAAUCCCUUAGUAAUAUCUUACUCUUCAACCUUUCUAUUGUUCACAUUUAAUUUCUUUACCUUCUUUCUGAUAUUAAACCAUAUAUGUUUUUUUUAAAAUCUGUAAUCAUUCCUCUAUUUUCAAAUCUAGGUUUUAUUCUUUAAACCUUUAUUUAAUUAUUUGAAAUCUUAUUUACAAGUCUCAUAAUUUUUUUGGGUUAUCACACGAUAACCAUUAUUCAACAUAAUAAAAUAUCAAACUUAUAUAAAUUUUAUUAUAUCAGAGUCUUUUUACCCAGGUACGAUGACCUUUAAAUUCUUAUUACAUAAUAGUUAAAUAUUUACAACAUAUAAACUAUCUAUUACAUAACAUCCCAGCAAAUCUACAACUUUUUCUUUCCCUUUAUCUUUACCAGAUGCCUCUACUCGAUACUGAGUAAUUGAAAACAUUUAUAACAAAGUAAGAAUGAGCAUUCAAUUGCUUAGCAAGUAAUAACAUUUUUAAAUAUCUCAUCAAUAAAUAAAUGUUCUCUUUGAAACAUGUUUUGACAGUGAAAUGAAACUGUAAAGUAAAUAAAUCUUGAGUCAUUCAUACUUCUAAAAUAACAUGUCAACAUUUGAUUAGCUGAGAGGUCAUAUAACCAUGAUCAUUCUUUUUCUUUUCUUGAAAAUGUUCUAUCAGAAAUUCAUCUAUGAAUUGUCUUGUCUUACGGGCACGAUAGGUGAUCAACUCUUUAUGCCCUGUAUUGAUCAAUACUAUUUUAUCCAGAACACUUUUUAUGUUCAACGUCACCGCUCCCAGAAUGCAAUAUAAAAUAUCCCAAUUCAGGGAUUGUUCAUUCUCAGACUGGAAUCCAAAUUAUAUCAAUACAGCUGGAAAACUCAAAUCAUAUCACAAUAAUAUUUCAAGACUUAAUAUAAAAGAAUUGAAAUACUUUAAUCUAUGUCUAGCCAGAAAAAAUGACUUAGACUAUAUCUUUAAACUGUUCAUGCAUAUUGAAUUUCAUCUGAUAUACAUAAUAUCAUCUUAACCAUUCUCUUGAAGCUGAUUGGAAUAAAAAGAUUUACUAUACCUUGUAUUAUUCAUAAGUAAUUACGAAACAGUUCAGAAUUUAGAGAAAUUGCCUACAUAUGAAUUAAUAAAUCUAACAUACUUGCUCAAUAAAGAGUAAGAUUUUAGAUAUUUUCCUUGAUUGCGAGCUAUUGAUAAAAAUUCAGCUUAACUUGUUCUCACAGAUCCUACACAAUUAUAUUUGUAUUUACAAACACAUUAGCCAAGUAUCUAAGUCAUAUAACUUGUAUGCUUACAUAACACAUAACCACAUAGAUCAUAUCUUUGGUUUGUGAUGUUACUUAUGAGAUACUUGUAUACAUUUUUCAAAAACCUCAUCCAUGUUCUUAAAAUAAUCAUUUUUUCUCUUUAAUAGAGUUUUGAUAUGCUUGUAUUAUGCAAAUACCUUAUAGUUAUAAUUUAUACCACAUUAGGAACUUAAUACAUGAGCAUUUCAUGCUUCCUUUACAUAACUUCUAGCAUACAAGGUGUUUUCAUAGCUUAUUAUAUGCUUUGAAGGUAUUUUCAACUUUUAUGGUUAGCUUUUAGUCUUCCCAUGAUUUAUAGUUUCAUUUUAAUACAUCAAUGUAUUAAAUAUCUUUUUUUUCUUCAUUAUGUCAAAACAACCUUCUAAAGCUUUAACAGUUUUAACAACCCACUAAUAUGGCAUUGCUUGGAUUUAUUGCUUUGAUUUUAGAAACUUACUUAUGCUAACCAUUCCAUUGCAAAUCCGUUUAUGUUGAGUUAUGAAUCUAAUACAAAUCCUAUAAAUUUAUUUAUUUGAGAAGUUUUAAGUCCACUAUAUGGUUAAGUCUUCAAACUAGAUUCUAGAGCUAAAAUGAUAUACCCAAACUAUUAUAGCAGUCCCUUACUGCCCAUUGCUACUGCAUAUAGGCAGGAACUGCUUUUCAUGUGCCUCACUUUGAGUAGCUUUGAUUCCCCACACCUGUGUUUCCUUUGUCUUAUGUUUUGGAUAUCAUUCAGAUGGUGCAUUCAUCUAGUACUAAAACACAUUAGAUGAGCAAUUCUAGAAGUUUAGAAGUACUAAUUAAGAGCUCAAAAGAAACUUCUAUACAUAGCCACUACUGUAGCAGCCUCUUGGCUGUUAAUUUUGCCAGCUGUUGCUGCCUAAAAGCAGCAGCCCUUACCUCUCAAUCCUAGAUUUGGUAAUUUUUCUUUUGUUUUCCCCUAUUUGACUAAAUAUAAGGGUAAAGUUCAGAUCAGCACAUGAGAUUUGGGCGCUUUCCCACUUAACCACCUGUAGUUAGUAAAGCUACAUUUAAACUCCCGACUUUUUGAGUGAAGUGAAUAAAUUCUUUUCGUCUUAACUCCGUUACUUGAGUUGGCUAAAGACUUAAUUACCCUCCAUAUAUAUAUAUUGAAAACGACGGAUGAUCCUACCAAAGAAACAAAUCGUGUAUAUAUAGAAAAGACAGGGCUACUCAAUUUAACAUGUAUGUAAUCUGCUUCUGCUGCUGAUGAUGAUUCUUAGAGGAAUUUGACUUUGCCCAACAACAUAAUUGCAACUGAAUUAGUAAAAAAAAAUUCUUUUUUUUAUGGUUUAACUGGAAUGAGAGAUUUCACAAACACAGCUGCUAACUUCUCACUAUGCCAAGCCACUGCUUACUGCAAUCCGAACUAUACCACUCCAAGAAUUCUCCUUUAGUUCACCAUUACCCAUUGCUACAUUCUCAAUUUCAUCCUCAACCUCUUAUCCACUGGCUUCCGGUCCUUCAAAAACUGAUUAAACGAAUCUGAAUCGCUCACUUUCUUCUCUCCCAAUGAUUUAGCUGUCUUUAUGACACUCUCUACCCCAUGUUUACCAUUUAACGUACGUGUCCGAAAUCGCUUCCCACCGCCCCGGCUUCCCCACCGGAUUCUUCACCAUCUGCUUCUUCAAUAAUUCCAAAUCCCCCUCACUCCAUUCUCUCUCUUCAAAAGAUUUUACCCCAUUUAUCCCCCCUCACUGGGUUUCUUUUCAUUCUCGUUGACAACAAAAGGGGCAGAAUUAAAACUGAAUUCCUCUUUUUUUUUGGGUUUUGAUCGGCGAUUGGAGGCUUUCUUAUUCAGAUCGGCGACGGUGAGGUUUCUUCAUUUUGGGGCGGCAGCGGGGGUUGGAGGAUACGACCGCGGCCGACGCGGAUGUCUCCAGCGGUGAUGGAGGCGGGGGCGAAGGGGCCGAGAAGGAGGGAGAAGGUGAACCAGAAGAAGAUGGAUUUUAGAUAUUUACCAAAUUUUUUUGACUGUUAUAGACCUUUCUCACGCGCUUUUGGCGUCUGACAUACACACACAGUUAAGUUGGAUGAAAAAUGUGACGUUUUCACUUCAGCUCAAAAAGUCGGGAGUUUAAAUGUAGCUUUAUUGACUGCAGGUGGUUAAGUGGGAAAGCGCCCAAAUCCCAGGUGGUUAUCUGAACUUUACCCUAAAUAUAAUUAUUAACCCUUUUUGUUGCAUUAGUAGCCUCAUAGCAUGGCCUGGUUUGGCUUAGCAGCCCUCACCAUCCCACUAAUUAGCAGCCAAAUGCAACACUUUUCAAUUUGUUAAUUAGCCUUAUCUUAUAGAUUGCUAACCCAUUAUAAAUUUUAUAUACAUGUUUAUCUAGGAGGUUUUAAAUCCAACUCUAUGAUUCAAUCCUUAAAUUGCAUUCUAGAGUUAACAUAACACUCCCAAAACUUCAUGUCAUUACAUGAUUUACAACGACUAUUUAGCAAUACAAAGCUGAUACAUUCAUUUAUAACAGAGUAUCAUCAGCUGAGCAAUAUGUAGCAACACCAGUGCACUAACUGAAAGCCCAUAAAGAGCCCCCAACCAUUGCUCUUCAAGCCCAUUGUGGCUCUCUGCUGCUCUCAGUUAUAGCCCUUAGGCAACAGCCUUGUGCCCAACAUGGCUACUUCUCUAAUUUUUUGCUUCUAAUCCAAAUUUUCGUUUCUAACCAUUGUUAGAGAUAUUUCACAUAAUAUAUGGUAGUAUUUUUAGAAAUUGUACAACCUCCAUUUCAGCUUCAAUAGGCUGCCCAAAACAGUGUGUAAAAGUAGCUUAACACACUAAAUUUUAACUUCUUGUUUUGGGGUUGAAAUUGAAUUUCGUUUUAAUCUAACAAGCUUAAACUCUAGUUAUUAUCCUAUGUAAGAUAUCUAUCCAUUCCAAGCUUUAGUUUUGCCUAAUAUUUGAUUUUCAGCUAAAACAGUCUUUUAAGGACUUUGUCAAGCACUUAGAGUGCAUUGAUAUACACCCAUUUUAUCCUCCUAAUGUCUCCGAACAAACAUCAUAUCUCCUUUACGCUAUUUCGGCCUCAUAACAAUCAAAUUAAUACACAGUUAAAUGCAUAAAUAACCAACCAUUUGCAAACUAGUUAGUUUACUUCCUUUUUAAUUCAAUUCCAUUGAUAAACACAUAAAUCUACCAUAUAGCCAUCUCCAUUAUUAAGCAUACUAAUCAUCAAAUGAAGAAUGUCAGCUCCUAGAUAAAAAACAUCUUGUACAAAUAUAACACAUUUGCACAUAGAUAAAAAACUUGCAUUCAAUGUAAAGAUUGAAUGGAGUUAAGAAACUUGCAUUAUGCGUUGUUUACAACUUUAAGUUAAUUCGCCCUUCGAACGUCCUACACAUUUUAAUGUAUGACGACUGUGGACUCAAGUGCAAAAUUAGGGUUCACUUACACGAUUUCAAUGAAUUCUUGAUUUAGUUCAUUACUUUCAUUUCAUUUUCUCUUUUCAUACAUAUUAGCGGUAAUUUCAGUUCACUAAUUUCAUCUUUUUUCUCCAGAUCUUUAAUGAUUCGCAUGAGUCAACCACCAACCACCAACAAAGCACUUCAAAACUAUAUGAAAAGCUAUAAAAGAGUUGGUUUUAGAGUUUUACCUUUGAAGAUCUUUCUCGUUCUUGUUAAUGUAGGGAUUAAUUUUGUUUUUCCGCUUCCUUUUGCAUAUAAUUUUCGAGCUCUCUCUUCCUCUCUCAAAAAUAUGUAGAGUUUCUUCUCUUGAUUUUGUGAAUUGGUAAGGAAUAAAUAAGAAAUUGCCUCCUAUUUAUAGGCUAGCAAGGCUUAGGGUAGAAUGAUCAUUUAGACUAAUUUAACCAUCAUCUAUCCAUGGUUAAAUAGUGGGUGAUGGGAUGGUUCCAUUGGUCCAUAUAUACAAGUUCACUUAGAUUAAGUUAGACCAUAGUUAGCCUAACUUGGUCUUCUUUGCUUAGUUUGGCCACUUUAACCAUUUAGCUAGCCGCAAUAUUUGACUUUGACAUGUGUAUUUCUACCGUAUAUUUUUUGUAUUAUACUCG
rnacentral:lncRNA from 1 species